rnacentral:rRNA from 1 species
UGGGGAAUUUUGCGCAAUGGGGGAAACCCUGACGCAGCAGCGCCGCGUGGAGGAUGAAGUCCUUCGGGACGUAAACUCCUUUCGAUCGGGACGAUUAUGACGGUACCGGAAGAAGAAGCCCCGGCUAACUUCGUGCCAGCAGCCGCGGUAAUACGAGGGGGGCGAGCGUUGUUCGGAAUUAUUGGGCGUAAAGGGUGCGUAGGCGGUUUUGUAAGUCUUAUGUGAAAUCUAUGGGCUCAACUCAUAGACUGCAUGAGAAACUGCAGGGCUUGAGUAUGGGAGAGGUGAGUGGAAUUCCUGGUGUAGCGGUGAAAUGCGUAGAUAUCAGGAGGAACACCUGUGGCGAAAGCGGCUCACUGGACCAUAACUGACGCUGAUGCACGAAAGCUAGGGGAGCAAACAGGAUUAGAUACCCUGGUAGUCCUAGCCCUAAACGAUGACUGCUUGGUGUGACGGGUACCCAAUCCCGCCGUGCCGUAGCUAACGCGUUAAGCAGUCCGCCUGGGGAGUACGGUCGCAAGGCUG